AUCCUCUUGGUGGAAUUCGGUAGACACGCUAGUUUCAGGUAUUAGAUUUUAAAGGUUCAAAUCCUUUAGAGGGUA
rnacentral:tRNA from 2 species